AUUGAACGCUGGCGGCAGGCCUAACACAUGCAAGUCGAGCGAGAGGCGGACGGGUGAGUAAUGUCUGGGAAACUGCCUGAUGGAGGGGGAUAACUACUGGAAACGGUAGCUAAUACCGCAUACCAUCAGCUCGGCCCAGAUGGGAUUAGCUAGUCGGUGGUGUAACGGCUCACCUAGGCGACGAUCCCUAGCUGGUCUGCGAGGAUGACCAGCCACACUGGAACUGCGACCCGGUCCAGACUCCUACGGCAGGCAGCAGUGGGGAAUAUUGCACAAUGGGCGAAAGCCUGAUGCAGCCAUGCCGCGGGUGUGAAGAAGGCCUGCGGGUUGGAAAGCACUUUCAGCGGGGAGGCGUUACCCGCAGAAGAAGCACCGGCUAACGCCGUGCCAGCAGCCGCGGUAAUAC
rnacentral:rRNA from 1 species